AGCAGCCGCGGUAAUUCCAGCUCCAAUAGCGUAUAUUAAAGUUGUUGCAGUUAAAAGCUCGUAGUUGAAUUUCGGGGUUAGUAGGUUGGUCAUGCCUCUGGUAUGUACUGGUCUCACUGAUUCCUCCUUCCUGAUGAACCUUAAUGCCAUUAAUUUGGUGUUUUGGGGAAUUUGGACUGUUACUUUGAAAAAUUAGAGUGUUUAAAGCAAGCUAACGCUUGAAUACAUUAGCAUGGAAUAAUGAAAUAGGACGUUCGAUCCUAUUUUGUUGGUUUCUAGGAUUGACGUAAUGAUUAAUAGGGAUAGUUGGGGGCAUUAGUAUUCAAUUGUCAGAGGUGAAAUUCUUGGAUUUAUUGAAGACUAACUACUGCGAAAGCAUUUGCCAAGGAUGUUUUCAUUAAUCAAGAACGAAAGUUAGGGAUCGAAGACGAUCAGAUACCGUCAUAGUCUUAACCAUAAACUAUGCCGACUAGGGAUCGGAUGAUGUUAAUUUUUUAAUGACUCAUUCGGCGUCCG
rnacentral:misc_RNA from 1 species